UAUAUAGACCUUAAAAGGAGGUUUGAAUGGUUGAGUCUCGUAAAGACAGUACAUGCAAUACAGGCCACCCAGUCUGUGUGAUAAAGAACCAUUGCUGACCAUAAUACCUGAGUGAAUUGAGCUAUAAGGUUAUCAAUGUCCUUGUUUGAAAUUAUCCAUAUUCAUGGUGAAGAACCGUAAUUUGUGAACCAUAUUCAUAGCAGCAAAUUGU
rnacentral:lncRNA from 1 species